rnacentral:rRNA from 1 species
UACGAAGGGGGGCUAGCGUUGCUCGGAAUUACUGGGCGUAAAGCGCACGUAGGCGGCUUGUUAAGUCAGGGGUGAAAUCCUGGAGCUCAACUCCAGAACUGCCUUUGAUACUGGCGAGCUUGAGUUCGGGAGAGGUGAGUGGAACUGCGAGUGUAGAGGUGAAAUUCGUAGAUAUUCGCAAGAACACCAGUGGCGAAGGCGGCUCACUGGCCCGAUACUGACGCUGAGGUGCGAAAGCGUGGGGAGCGAGUCCGG